UUAAGUCUUUAAUAACGUAAGGACUUUCUGUAACAUUUGUCUGUUGGUAUUUCUGGUUUGAAUCGACCCUUCUCCAAAAUAUUAUGAAAUGUAAGUCAUCGCCGUUUCUGUAUUUUGGCGCUUCCCAUGAUACAUUUAAUGUGUUUCGCUUGACAAUUACCCUCACUUUUCUAGGUCGGCUUGGAACUAAAAUGAAGAAUAUUUUUACUAACAUGACAAAUCAAAAUGUGUAUUUUUAAGAACAUUUUACAGGUUGGGUUCGGUUCCAAUAUUUUUCUGUCGAAUAUUUUCGCUAUAACCAAUCACAUUGCAUAUACCGCAUUCAUGUUUUCGAUCAGUUCUAGUGGAAAUCACGCCUAACCCACGUUAAAAUACGUUGCGACUUAAAUAUUGUGACUUAUAGGUUGCGACUUAAGCUAUGUUUACACGCUGCGAUUAAUCGUGUACGAUUCGUUUCUGGCGUAUGUGAUUGAGACUGUUGAGUAAACAAGCGUAAGCUGG